GGUGACAGUGUGGUGUCCCAGGGCCAGUUGCAGCUUAUGUGACCAGCAGCUACCCCUCCCUACAAGGGGCUUCCCUGGGCCCCUGGGCUGGAACAAACUGCCCAGAGGGCCGCUGAGUCAUCCAGCCCCUCCUCUCCUUUCCCUCCCAGAACUGAGGAUCAGAGAAUUCAGGGCUGGAAGGAAGGUCUUGGGGCCAAAGCCUUGGUCUUUCGAAGGUAGUUCUUGCAUGUGGAGUGGUGGAAUGGGGUCUGGAGUUUGGGCCACACUGAGAUGCCAUUUCUCUGAUCAUCAUACCUGAUGCACAAUCCAAGGAGACGGCCCAGGGUCAUCUCUUCUGCCUGAAUAGCUGAGAGGAGUCCUGCAAUCUUAGAGCCAUUUUCCCAAGAAACCUGACCUAGAACAUACUCUCUCUUAAGAUUCAA
rnacentral:lncRNA from 1 species